GAUCAUGGCUCGGGAUGAACGCUAGCUACAGGCUUAACACAUGCAAGUCGAGGGGAAACGGUAUUGGAAGCUUGCUUCCGAUAGGCGUCGACCGGCGCACGGGUGAGUAACGCGUAUCCAACCUGCCCACCACUUGGGGAUAACCUUGCGAAAGUAAGACUAAUACCCAAUGAUAUCUCUAGAAGACAUCUGAAAGAGAUUAAAGAUUUAUCGGUGAUGGAUGGGGAUGCGUCUGAUUAG
rnacentral:rRNA from 1 species